UAUCCACCACCCGUACCCUAACCCUCGAACAUCAACAAAGGGAGUUUGGACAGAUAGAAGCAGAGAUUCCGUAAAAAAGCAGGCAAAACUCAAUUCCAAAUCCAUUCAAUUCAAUUGUAAUAUAAUUUUUUUUAAAAAAAUUCUGUUCAUUUACUUCUCUGCUUUCUCCCUUGAUUAUUCGUCAAAUGCCACUGUUCUGCAUGCAUCGCUGUAUUAGCACUUUCUCAAGCGCGCCCUCCCUUUCGCAAUUCGUUACUUGGCUGACUUAACGAGUCACGAUAUGUUCACUUGACGUCACCCCUCUAAUCUAGCGAUACGAGGUGGUUAGUGGAGGAACGGUGAUCCAUUGCCUGUGAUUGGUCGAUAAGCUCAAACAAGUGGUUCUUAGAUAAACUUUGAAAGGCCGGAUUGGUAAGGGCCACUCAACUGCCACUCUGUUCGGUACAUUGAAUGAUAACGCUUCAUGCGCAUUGCGCUGCUUAGGGCAGAAAAAAGAGCAAUUCAAAGAUAUGGAGGAACGGAAGCCGAUUCACUGAUAACUUGGUAAUCCACGGAUACACACAUUGAUCGGGACAUACAUAAAAAAAGAGGUUUGCAAAAUUUCCAAA